rnacentral:rRNA from 12 species
UUUGGCGACGGAAAAUUUUUGUUCUCUCUCCAGCGAAGAAGAGCGCAGCAAAAACUGAAACUUGGUCU